rnacentral:misc_RNA from 1 species
AUGAAGAACGCAGCGAAAUGCGAUACUUGGUGUGAAUUGCAGAAUCCCGUGAACCAUCGAGUCUUUGAACGCAAGUUGCGCCCGAAGCCAUUAGGCCGAGGGCACGCCUGCCUGGGCGUCACACGUCGUUGCCCCCCCAUCUACUCCUUCGGGAUUGCGGGGGGCGGAUGAUGGCCUCCCGUGCGCCUCGCCGCGCGGUUGGCAUAAAUGCCAAGUCCUCGGCGACGCACGCCACGACAAUCGGUGGUUGCGAAACCUCGGUUGCCCGUCGUGUGCGGUCGUCGCGCAUCGAGGGCUCGAAAAAAUUGCCGGGUUCCGGCUCGGCUUUCAACGCGACCCCAGGUCAGGCGGGGUUACCCGCUGAAUUUAAGCAUAUCAAUAGCGGAGGA